rnacentral:rRNA from 1 species
CGGCCGCGUCGACGGCAACUUGUUGCCUCGCUAUUAGAUGAGCCUAAGUCGGAUUAGCUAGAUGGUGGGGUAAAGGCCUACCAUGGCGACGAUCUGUAGCUGGUCUGAGAGGAUGAUCAGCCACACCGGGACUGAGACACGGCCCGGACUCCUACGGGAGGCAGCAGUGGGGAAUAUUGGACAAUGGGGGCAACCCUGAUCCAGCCAUGCCGCGUGUGUGAAGAAGGCCUUUUGGUUGUAAAGCACUUUAAGCAGUGAAGAAGACUCCAUGGUUAAUACCCAUGGACGAUGACAUUAGCUGCAGAAUAAGCACCGGCUAACUCUGUGCCAGCAGCCGCGGUAAUACAGAGGGUGCAAGCGUUAAUCGGAAUUACUGGGCGUAAAGCGAGCGUAGGUGGCUUGAUAAGUCAGAUGUGAAAGCCCCGGGCUUAACCUGGGAACGGCAUCUGAUACUGUUAGGCUAGAGUAGGUGAGAGGAAGGUAGAAUUCCAGGUGUAGCGGUGAAAUGCGUAGAG